rnacentral:rRNA from 1 species
UGGUGGAUCGAUUUGUCUGGUUAAUUCCGAUAACGAACGAGACUCUAACUUACUAACUAGUACAACAUCUCCUUCGGGCGAUGUUGAACUUCUUAGAGGGACAGGAGGCGAUUCAGCCUCACGAGAAAGAGCAAUAACA